rnacentral:rRNA from 1 species
GUACAAGCAGUGGGAGCACAGGUUUACCUGUGUGACUGCGUACCUUUUGUAUAAUGGGUCAGCGACUUAUAUUCUGUAGCAAGGUUAACCGUAUAGGGGAGCCGGAGGGAAACCGAGUCUUAACCGGGCGUUAAGUUGCAGGGUAUAGACCCGAAACCCGGUGAUCUAGCCAUGGGCAGGUUGAAGGUUGGGUAACACUAACUGGAGGACCGAACCGACUAAUGUUGAAAAAUUAGCGGAUGACCUGUGGCUGGGGGUGAAAGGCCAAUCAAACCGGGAGAUAGCUGGUUCUCCCCGAAAGCUAUUUAGGUAGCGCCUCGUGAAUUCAUCUCCGGGGGUAGAGCACUGUUUCGGCUAGGGGGCCAUCCCGGCUUACCAACCCGAUGCAAACUGCGAAUACCGGAGAAUGUUAUCACGGGAGACACACGGCGGGUGCUAACGUCCGUCGUGAAGAGGGAAACAACCCAGACCGCCAGCUAAGGUCCCAAAGUCAUGGUUAAGUGGGAAACGAUGUGGGAAGGCCCAGACAGCCAGGAUGUUGGCUUAGAAGCAGCCAUCAUUUAAAGAAAGCGUAAUAGCUCACUGGUCGAGUCGGCCUGCGCGGAAGAUGUAACGGGGCUAAACCAU